ACGCUCGACACCUACGGGAAGCAGCAGUGGGGAAUAUUGCACAAUGGGGGAAACCCUGAUGCAGCGACGCCGCGUGAGGGAAGAAGGUUUUCGGAUUGUAAACCUCUGUCCUGGGUGAAGAAGGAAGACGGUAGCCAAGGAGGAAGCCACGGCUAACUACGUGCCAGCAGCCGCGGUAAUCUGAGCGGGCUGGCAAGGC
rnacentral:rRNA from 1 species